rnacentral:rRNA from 1 species
CUUACGGAAGGCAGCAGUGGGGAAUAUUGGACAAUGGGGGCAACCCUGAUCCAGCGAUGCCGCGUGAGUGAUGAAGGCCUUAGGGUUGUAAAACUCUUUCAGAUGGGAAGAUAAUGCCGGUCCCAUCAGAAGAAGCUCCGGCUAAUUCCGUGCCAGCAGCCGGGGUAAUACGGAGGGACCUAGCGUUGUUCGGAAUUACUGGGCGUAAAGCGCGCGUAGGGGGCUUGGCAAGUUGGGGGUGAAAUCCCGGGGUUCAACCUGGGAACUCCCUCCAAAAUUGCUAAGCUAGAAUCCGGGAGAGGUGAGUGGAAUUCCUAGUGUAGAGGUGAAAUUGGUAGAUAUUAGGAAGACCCCCAGUGGGGAGGGGGCCUCCCGGGCCAGGUAUUGCCGCUGAGGUGCGAAAGCGUGGGGAGAGACCAGGAUUAGAUACCCUGGUAGUCCACCCGGUAAACAAGGGAAGUUAGGUGUUGGG